rnacentral:rRNA from 11 species
GUGGGUAGUUUGACUGGGGCGGUCUCCUCCUAAAGAGUAACGGAGGAGCACGAAGGUUGGCUAAUCCUGGUCGGACAUCAGGAGGUUAGUGCAAUGGCAUAAGCCAGCUUGACUGCGAGCGUGACGGCGCGAGCAGGUGCGAAAGCAGGUCAUAGUGAUCCGGUGGUUCUGAAUGGAAGGGCCAUCGCUCAACGGAUAAAAGGUACUCCGGGGAUAACAGGCUGAUACCGCCCAAGAGUUCAUAUCGACGGCGGUGUUUGGCACCUCGAUGUCGGCUCAUCACAUCCUGGGGCUGAAGUAGGUCCCAAGGGUAUGGCUGUUCGCCAUUUAAAGUGGUACGCGAGCUGGGUUUAGAACGUCGUGAGACAGUUCGGUCCCUAUCUGCCGUGGGCGCUGGAGAACUGAGGGGGGCUGCUCCUAGUACGAGAGGACCGGAGUGGACGCAUCACUGGUGUUCGGGUUGUCAUGCCAAUGGCACUGCCCGGUAGCUAAAUGCGGAAGAGAUAAGUGCUGAAAGC